UACAGAGGGGGCGAGCGUUGUUCGGAAUUACUGGGCGUAAAGGGCGCGUAGGCGGCCCGCUAAGUCGAACGUGAAAUCCCCAGGCUCAACCUGGGAACUGCGUCCGAUACUGGCAGGCUUGAAUCCGGGAGAGGGAUGUGGAAUUCCAGGUGUAGCGGUGAAAUGCGUAGAUAUCUGGAGGAACACCGGUGGCGAAGGCGGCAUCCUGGACCGGUAUUGACGCUGAGGCGCGCAAGCUAGGGGAGCAAACGGG
rnacentral:rRNA from 1 species